rnacentral:lncRNA from 1 species
CUGGACUACUAUUAUCCAUUGCGAUUAUAUUUUAUUUUUUUUUCUUAGUUUUAUAUUCCAUUCAUCUUCAUCAGAUGCUCUACUUAACAUCUGAUGCAUGCAUGCAAUUCUUAAUCUCACAUAUUCAAGAUGGAUGAGAUUUUUUUUCGCUCCUUUCCAAUCAGAGAUAUUAUUAAGGAGAGGGGCCACUUCUAACCACGGGCUGCAAUCACACCUAUGGAGGGGAGCCGGAUAGUGAAGAACUGGGAUCGCGGGACGGGCUCAGAACCACAAAAAAAUUUUCAGGAGAUAUUUACCUGGUUCCUCAUGCCUGGCACGCCAAUGAGUUACCUCUCUGCCAUUCGCUCUUGGCCCGGCCAUCGAUCCUUCGCGGUUUGGGCAACAAUCCGAGGUUCCUCCUGUAGUGGAGGUCCUCUCGCCAUUGAAUUUUGCUUUCAAUGUGGGUUGUCUAAUUGGCAGCUGUUUGGCAGUACUUGAAACCGCCCUUUCUCGGCUAUUACCGGUUGCUACAGCAACAUUGCGCACGAGAAGCCGAGGUCGGAAGGACCUUUCACCCGGCAGUCCACUGGAUCAGCCUGGCUCUCUCGUUGACAGUAGACCCGGAGGUGGUGGACUCUGUCCCUACCGCGUUCGGCAACGAUUAAAGCCGAGUUACAUCUCGCAGAAGGAUCCUUAUAGUACCUUUCUGUGGAGCAGGGCCUGUAGCUCCUUUUGGGCGCUGUCUUAAGACCUAAAUGAGACUAAAAUCCGGUCUCCGAUGCAUGAGAUUAAUAAGCAUCCACUGGCUAUCAGAAGCCCCUAAAUUCUAAAUAAAAUUGACCAAUAGACCAAGAACGGUGAUUAAUUUGUUGAAUCAGAAACUUACGGAAAACAACAAUCGAUUCAGAA